GUCGGUGACCGCAGGACGAUCAGUCGUGGCACGUCUCACCAAAAAGAUCUUUUCUCUCUCCUCUCUGGUGUUUUGUAUUGUAUGUCUAGUUGUCUACUUGGCUGCUGGAAAAAUAUGGAGCACAGGAUGAGAGAGGAGGCGGAGGUUGUCGUCGCCGGAGACGACGGGGAGGAGGUUGCGACCGGUCGGAGUAUGGAGAACAGGGUGGUGAGGGAUGUUGUUGCGGGGGCAGUGGAAGCGUCGUCCAGGAAUCGGGUAUCGAAUGGUGAGUUGAACUCGGGAGGAGGAGGAGGAGGAGGAGGUGGAAGUAGGAGCAGAGAGCAGGUGAUUGGGUGGGAGCGGUUUCUUCCAAGGAGGUUCUUGAGGGUUCUUCUUGUUGAGAAUGAUGAUUCUACUAGGCAUAUAGUUGCUGCUUUGCUAAGGAAAUGUAGCUACCAAGUUACUGCAGUUGCAGAUGGGCUCAAAGCUUGGGAGGUCCUAAAGGAGAAACAAUAUAAUUUUGAUCUUGUUUUAACUGAAGUGGUGAUGCCUUCUCUCUCUGGGAUAGGUCUUCUUUGCAAGAUCAUGAGCAAUGACAUAUGCGAAAACAUUCCAGUAAUCAUGAUGUCCUCACAUGAUUCCAUUGGCAUAGUAUUUAAAUGCAUGCAAAAGGGUGCUGCAGACUUUCUGGUAAAGCCAGUUAGAAAAAAUGAACUAAGAAACUUGUGGCAGCAUGUCUGGAGAAAGUAUUGUUCUAGUAGUUGUGGAAAUAGGUCUGAAAAUGACAAUCUAAACCAGGUAAGACUGGAGGCUGUGUCUGACAAUGAUGCUGCUAGCAAUCAUGGAAGUGCAAAUGCUUGCAACAAAUCUAAAAUGGGAAACAGUUCUAACAAAGAAAGUGAUACUCAGAGCUCCUGUAGUAAACCAGAGACAGAAAACAAGAGUCUGCAGAAAAUAGGGGAGUCUCUUGAAAUUGAAAAUAAGGGUUUUCCCAAGGAAACUGAUUUAAAAUUAGAGAAGCAUGAAUAUAACAUGGUGACAGAAUCAUCAAUGCUUGAUAAGGGCAAAGCAGAAGAUAAGUCAACAGGGGUAGAAGUCAAAGUAACUCUGUCCAUCCAAGGAGCUGCUUCAAAUAAAAGGAUUUGGGAGAAGAAUGUUUUUUAUGCUGGAUCCCCAUGCAGAGAGGAACAACCAGUUUCCUUGAGAAAUAAAGAGGGUGCACAUAAUGAUCCUGUAUCUCUUGAUCAAACUGAGGGAACAAAUGAGCCUUCAAAAGAGGUUAUUGAUUUCAUUGGGGCAGCAACUGCUCAGCAGUAUAGUUGUUCAGUAUUGGGCAAUAAUGGCCACAAAGAGGUUAUUUUGUCUGAAGCUGCAAAAACCUCAGAUGUAAAGAGUAGCAUAAGUAAUUCUGGCUCCUUGCCUUUAUGGGAGCUUUCUUUAAGGAGGUCACAAUUUAAAGGCCAGGAUGAGGAAGUCUUUCAGGAAAAGCAUGUGCUGAAUCACUCAGAUGCAUCACCAUUUUCAAGGUAUGCCAGUGCUCAGAUUCGUACUUCCUGUCCAAGGUCAGGGUCUUCUUCUGCCAAUUUAUGUGUAAGGGCCAGUGAUUCUGAUGCUGCAAAAUCUCACACAAAUUCAAGUUCCAAUCAUGGGAAUAAAAUUCCUUUCCCUCUUAUAGAGAGAUUAAUAUCUCCAAAUCAAAAUGGAGAUGAAACUUUAAUUUGCUGCCAUCUGUCAUCUUCUAGCAAAAGGGAGGAUGGAGAACCUUCAUCAUCUGUUACUUUAAGAGAAGAUACCUGUGUUGGUCAUUCUUCUACUGAGAAGACAGUAUUCUCUCAUCCCCAACUUGGAUUCAUUCCACUUCCUAUUCCUGUUGGGACAACGCCUUUUCAUAAUUUAUGUGCUGGCUAUGGCACCAUAUUUCAACCAGUUUUCUACCCAGAAACUUCUACACCUUUAUGUGGCUCAUCUGAAGUUGGGAAAGAUGUAUUGCAUCCAUCCAACCCAUAUUCUCAAGACAGUCAUAUUGUUAAUGAUCUCAAGCAUGAUGGUUCACAUGACUGUGUGGAGAAACCCCAUCCCCAUCGGUUGAAGCAUCCAAUGGAGGAAAGCAGAGACAAUAACAAAUCCAUAUAUCCAAGAAAAAUGCUGCCAACUCCUACCGAUAUUGCCAAUCAACUUGCUAACUGUAGCCAUGGUAUUACUGAUGCUAAUGGAAGCAAUGACAGUAAUAGGUACACUGUCAGUACAGGAGCUGCUGUAGAAAAUGGAAAUGAAGACGGUUCCAUUAACUUCAAUCGGAAGGUAGAGCAUGACCAUUCUCGACGUGAGGCUGCAUUAACCAGAUUCCAUUUGAAACGAAAAGACAGAUGCUUUGAGAAAAAGGUUAGGUAUCAUAGUAGGCAAAAGCUUGCAGAACAACGCCCACGAUUGAAAGGGCAAUUUGUGCGUCAAUCAGUUGCUGAAUCAACGAUGAUGGCUGCACAACCAGACAAUUGAGAAGAGCUAUUUAACCUAUUUUUAAUACUGUAAAAGCUUUAUAUCCAUGAGUAAAAGCCGGGCAUGUGUGCCUCAGUGCCUAGAUUGUUGGUGCAGAUUCUGAACAAGUUCAACACUCCUCCAAAAAAAGCUAAAACGUGAGUAAUCAUCAUACUUCAUUGGUUGAGGUGGAGAUCUUGCCUCCUAUUGCUUGAAGGAAAAAGCAAGUUGAAGAGCAAUCCGCCAACAAACCAUCCACAGCCUUGCAUUACCCAUUUACAUAUCUCGUAUAUGGAUCAAACCCGCAUCCAAGCCACCCACUCACCCCAGAGAGAUGCACCUGGUUGUCUGGUAAGUAGUAUGUGAAGUUCGUGCACUUGUGGGCGUUUUACAACAUGAAUUGUUUU